AAAAAGAAAAAAAAAAACAACAAAUAAAAAUCAAAACAAAGCCAUAAUCAAGUCCCUUUGCAAUAUAAGUGAAGAGACAUUCUAAGCGAACCCAUGAGCAGUGGCCACCAAAAAAAAUCAUUGUUUAGCAAAGGAAAAGUCCAAGGGAGCGUCAACAUUUGAAAAGUCUAGCAUUCACUCCAAACUAAACAAGUGAAAAGAGCUUCUCCAAAGCGUGAUUCAGCUUCCUUCUUUGUGCAACUCCAUCUCCGGGCCCGAUUGGACAAAGUGAGAAAAUAAUCAAGGGAAGGGGGAGAAACACAGAUAAAGCUGAAAGUAUAAAAAAGGUUGAACAAGAGCCUUCAGGCCACCUCAUAAAGCAAAAAGGGAUGCCAAUGUUGUUUAAGAUUUGAUUUACUAUGUUUUGUGUUAAAUUUAAUAGUUAA
rnacentral:lncRNA from 1 species